rnacentral:lncRNA from 1 species
CACGUCCCUGUGCCCUGCCCAGCCUCGUGUCUCCAGACUCUCGGAGAAGAGUACGUGACUUAGGCCGAAGCCGAUCGGUGCAUUGCAUUUCCUUGGCCACAGUGACUGGGUCAUUGAUAAUCAUGUGACUUAAUGAGAGCAAAUUAGAGAAGCAAUGAGACUGGUUGGGCAUCCUGGGAAGGUGCCCUGGCAGUGUCCUUGCUGGACGUGAAUGUGUGGUGUGAGGUUGGGGAUGCUGCAGCUUUCUUGCUGCCGGCAGGCCACGCAGGGCUGAGGCUGUGGUCCAGCCGGGAAGAGGACAAGAGACCGUGGAUCUUCAGGACGGUGCCUGAGUCCCUGAGUCCAGCGGUGUCUGGGGAGUCCCGCCUCCAGAUGCUGUUACGUGACUCGAAAGUUCUGACUAAUGAGAACUGGAGGUUCUUCAUGCCUACCCUAAAAUCCUGCAGAAUCCUCAGGCAUCCCUGAAAAGAGACGUCGUGUUCUCAAGCGUUGGUUCGGACUCUGGUCACGAGUGAUGCUCAGAACACGGCUGCUGUGUAGACAUGCUCAGUAAGUACUGGUCCAGGAAUAACUGUGAUGUGGCGCAUAUGAACUGCGGCAGCAAGUCGGAGGGGUGCCCACCCCAGCCUUGAAGGAGUGCUCCCUGGAGGAGGCAAUCCUGUGUUGAGAUUUGAAGGAUGAACAGGAGGCAGCAAGGUGGACCAGGAGCCCCCAGAAUCAUCCACGGAACGGGCAGAAUAACAGAAGAGCAGUUUUCUCUCUUGGAGACAUAUGGAAAACAGUUUGUUUGCUUGGAGGAAAAUCAUAGCUUGUUGUUUUUGUCCCCCCCCAGAG